rnacentral:rRNA from 1 species
UACGUAGGGUGCGAGCGUUGUCCGGAAUUACUGGGCGUAAAGGGCGCGUAGGCGGCCCGCUAAGUCGAACGUGAAAUCCCCGAGCUCAACUCGGGAACUGCGUCCGAUACUGGUGGGCUUGAAUCCGGGAGAGGGAUGCGGAAUUCCAGGUGUAGCGGUGAAAUGCGUAGAUAUCUGGAGGAACACCGGUGGCGAAGGCGGGUCUCUGGGCAAUUCCUGACGCUGAGGCGCGAAAGCGUGGGGAGCAAACGGG